rnacentral:lncRNA from 1 species
UAUCUCGAGCAAGAUUUUUACAAAUAUCUGAACUUUUCUAAGUUAAUGACAUGUAAUUUAGGAUAAGCAUAAUUGAGUGAAGCAUGAUGUGUAUAACAUAGAACUCUGUAGAGUCCAUAUCCCACAUAGACACUAAGCCAGUGCAAAUGCUUCUACUAUUCUAGUUGUUCAUGUAACCCAUUAAAACCUUAAGCGACAGUUGAAAGUAAGGGCUUUGGUUCAGGCCUGCAUUAGUUUCUA